CAGGAAGCUGUCUGCAAAUUCAGGUAGCUUUUCUGACUCUUAAUGAGGUCUUGAAUAUUCUUUCAGAGAAAUGCCAGCAAAAACUGUAGUCAUUUGGGGAAGAAUAAGUCUGGAAGAAAAAUACACAGAGGACUAGCACCAAGAGGUCCACAGCUCACGAUGAUGACAAUCCUGAGGAUACAGGAAAAUUAUUUCCCAUGCAAGAAGAAGAAACUAUCUGAAGAAGAGAGAAGAGUGUGCCAUGACAUCAAAAAAGAAAAAAAGGUAGAGAAAUGGAGAACAGGAUAAAGGCCUGGAAUCCCCUGCUCCAGAAAGGGCAUGAGUAUGCUUUCCUAAAUACAGAAUUCUACUUUCGAAGACGUGAUCACUACAGUCUGAAGUCAGAAAAUGAGACCAACAGAUCAUCUUCAGGCCAUCCUGGGGUCUGUCAGUAAACUGAAAGUAACUGAACGAAGAGAGGAAUCUCCAAGAGAGGCCAGGGGACAGCCACCAGCCCACCACUACAGAGAAUUUCAGAGCUAAGCCACUCACAGAAAAAAAAAAAAGUUCAACCACAGGGCGGAUGUGCUGCUUUUCACACCCAAGUCAUUUAUUUGAAAAGCAAAGGCAGUAAAUUCUUGAAGCCCUCACUAUGUUAUGAUUACUCCAGGAGAAAAGAGAAGAUAAAAGAGAGACACUGAGCUUUCCCUCCCAG